GACGAACGCUGGCGGCGUGCCUAAUACAUGCAAGUCGAACGAGAGCGACCGGUGCUUGCACUGGUCAAUCUAGUGGCGAACGGGUGAGUAACACGUGGGUAACCUGCCCAUCAGAGGGGGAUAACAUCCGGAAACGGAUGCUAAAACCGCAUAGGUCUUCGAGCCGCAUGGCUUGAAGAGGAAAAGAGGCGCAAGCUUCUGCUGAUGGAUGGACCCGCGGUGCAUUAGCUAGUUGGUGAGGUAACGGCUCACCAAGGCCGUGAUGCAUAGCCGACCUGAGAGGGUGAUCGGCCACAUUGGGACUGAGACACGGCCCAAACUCCUACGGGAGGCAGCAGUAGGGAAUCUUCCGCAAUGGACGCAAGUCUGACGGAGCAACGCCGCGUGAGUGAAGAAGGUUUUCGGAUCGUGAAACUCUGUUGUUAGAGAAGAACAAGUGCUAGAGUAACUGUUAGCGCCUUGACGGUAUCUAACCAGAAAGCC
rnacentral:rRNA from 1 species